rnacentral:rRNA from 1 species
UACAGAGGUGGCAAGCGUUGUUCGGAAUUACUGGGCGUAAAGGGCGCGUAGGCGGUCUGGUCAGUCCCUUGUGAAAUCCCCCGGCUCAACUGGGGAACUGCACGGGAAACAGCCGGGCUUGAGUUCGGGAGAGGGAAGCGGAAUUCCGGGGUGUAGCGGUGAAAUGCGUAGAUAUCCGGAGGAACACCGGUGGCGAAGGCGGCGUUGCC